CUAGCUGUAAACGAUGGAUACUAGGCGUUGAGAGUAUCGACCCUCUCAGUGUCGUAGCUAACGCGUUAAGUAUCCCGCCUGGGGAGUACGCGCGCAAGCGUGAAACUCAAAGGAAUUGACGGGGGCCCGCACAAGCGGUGGGGUAUGUGGUUUAAUUCGAUGCAACGCGAAGAACCUUACCAGGGCUUGACAUGUCCGGAACCCUGCCCAAAGGCGGGGGUGCCUACGGGAACCGGAACACAGGCGGUGC
rnacentral:rRNA from 1 species